rnacentral:rRNA from 1 species
UGGGGAAUAUUGCACAAUGGGCGCAAGCCUGAUGCAGCAACGCCGCGUGAGGGACGACGGCCUUCGGGUUGUAAACCUCUUUUAGUAGGGAAGAAGCGAAAGUGACGGUACCUGCAGAAAAAGCACCGGCUAACUACGUGCCAGCAGCCGCGGUAAUACGUAGGGUGCGAGCGUUGUCCGGAAUUAUUGGGCGUAAAGAGCUCGUAGGCGGUCUGUCGCGUCUGCUGUGAAAACCCCGAGGCUCAACCUCGGGCCUGCAGUGGGUACGGGCAGACUAGAGUGCGGUAGGGGAGAAUGGAAUUCCUGGUGUAGCGGUGGAAUGCGCAGAUAUCAGGAGGAACACCGAUGGCGAAGGCAGUUCUCUGGGCCGUAACUGACGCUGAGGAGCGAAAGCGUGGGGAGCGAACAGGAUUAGAUACCCUGGUAGUCCACGCCGUAAACGUUGGGCGCUAGAUGUGGGGCACCAUUCCACGGUUUCCGUGUCGCAGCUAACGCAUUAA